AGACUCGGCAGAGACACGUGCGUAGAGGAUGCGAUGGAAUCCUAGAGGCUGUGGGGACCCGUGAGAGGGUAGGGAUGUGCAAAGCCUCAAGAAGAGGUGAGGAGAUGCCCCGAUUUUCUUAUUUCAGAGCAGUACAUGAGUUCGUCUCACAAAAGCUCUUACAACUAAAACAACAACAGCAACAAACCAGGAUCAAAAUAAUCAUGCAUUUUCCAAGAUUCCAUGUUGGACUUCUCAGUGCUUUGGAGAUCAGGAAAUAAUCAUGUUGUUGCGGCAGUAUGGUUUCGUGUCUGGAUUUUAUUCAUACAGGCAUGUGUUUACAGGCAUGAGAAUUCUGUAUUGAAAAGAAAGUCCUUGUUUUUUUCUAACGUAUCUUUCUGUUCUAUCAAGUGUUAUAACCAAAUUGUUAAGAGCAUUGAGCUUCUUAGGAGAGAUUACAUGCAGCUACUUAGGACCACCUCAGCAAAAUGGGGUUGCCUGGGUAGAUAGCAGCAGCAGCUCACCAGCCCCAUGCUGCCAGGCUGCUGGCUGCUGUCCACCAGGCAGCCAUGGAACCUCCAUGUUCUGCCUAGGUGUUGCAGC
rnacentral:sRNA from 1 species